GCACCCGUAGCUCAGCUGGAUAGAGCGUUGCCCUCCGAAGGCAAAGGUCACACGUUCAGAAUCGUGUCGGGUGCGCCA
rnacentral:tRNA from 1 species